GUGUCAGCAGCCGCGGUAAUACAGAGGGUUCGAGCGUUAUCCGGAAUUAUUGGGUUUAAAGGGUUCGUAGGCGGCUUUGUAAGUCAGUGGUGAAAUCUCCUAGCUUAACUAGGAAAUUGCCGUUGAUACUGUGAGGCUUGAAUCAUUAGGAAGUAACUAGCAUAUGUAGUGUAGCGGUGAAAUGCUUAGAUAUUACAUGGAAUACCAAUUGCGAAGGCAGGUUACUACUAAUGUAUUGACGCUGAUGAACGAAAGCGUGGGUAGCGAACAGGAUUAGAAACCCUGGUAGUCC
rnacentral:rRNA from 1 species